rnacentral:pre_miRNA from 2 species
GUGUGCCUGGCUCCCUGUAUGCCACACAUGUAUCCCAACCCGUGGCGUGAUUGGAUGCUGUGGGUGGCGUGCAAGGAGCCAAGCAUGC